rnacentral:rRNA from 1 species
GACGAACGCUGGCGGCGUGCUUAACACAUGCAAGUCGAACGGAAAGGCCCUGCUUUUGUGGGGUGCUCGAGUGGCGGACGGGUGAGUAACACGUGAGUAACCUGCCCUUGACUCUGGGAUAACUUCAGGAAACCGGGGCUAAUACCGCACAGGAGCUCCUGCUGCACGGUGGGGGUCGGAAAGUUUCGGCGGGUGGGGCUGGACUCGCGGCUUAUCAGCUUGCUGGUGGGGUAGUGGCUGACCAAGGCUUAGACGGGUAGCCGGCCUGAGAGGGAGACCGGCGACAUAGGGACUGAGAGACGGCCCAGACGCCUACGGGAGGCAACAGUGAAGAAUGUUGCCCAAUGGGCGGAAACCAGAUGCAGCAACGCCGCGUGCGGGAUAACGGCCUUCGGGUGGUAAAGCGCUUUCGACUGUGACGAGGCGUGGGUGAAGGUAAUGGGUAAAGAAGCACCGGCUAACUACGUG